CAGGGACUGGCCAUUGAUGAUCCAUUAAGCUGUAGUUGUUCUGGUGACUAUAGUGUCCAUUUUAACAUAUCAACACUACUAGCAGGCCUUGAUUUCUCCUUACCAUUACAAGCGUGAAGGGUACAUGGCACACUCACCAGGGGUGCUUUUCUACUUGCCAGGGCAAACUUUUCAAACUCCAAUAGAUAGAGUGAAAGUUUUCAGCCAAAGCCCCAUAGUAUCAUGAUAUCACCAUGGAGUUGACAUAUAAUAAUUCCUUACACUCCCUAUUAUCAGCUUGGAAU